CAAAACCUCAGCAGCAUAAAAUCUGCAAGAAGAAUAACUAGGAUUAUGUGCUUGAAAAAAUAUUAAUGCUGCUGAAAGAUAUUAAAAUAGACAAGGAGUCAUAUCACAACAGUAUUACGUUUCUUAUCUAUAUGGGAAUAUAAAACUGAAUUUUCAAACAUAUUAGAGAAUCAGUAGAUCACCUACCUUGGUAUUUCAGCAUUUACCAUUCAAGAUAAGAGUAAUGGAUAGAAAAUCAAUUAGGCAUACAGUAAUUUUAGCUCAUCAUAAACACAAUAUAAGCAUACUUGCAAGUUAAAAUUCUAGGGGCCCUUAAUUUUCAUAAUUCUAACUGUAGUAUAUGAAAGCUAGUGAAUUGCGAAGUUGAGUUUCACAAGCUAGCAUUCUUUAUAAUGUACUUUGUCAAGAAGAUGGCAAAGCAGGAGUGCAGAGAAAAGGAAAUUUUGCUACAUAAAAGAAAAUAUUAUAAAUAUGAUAUUAAUGGUGACUAUUUUUUGAGGCAGCAAAAUCCAUCUUUUCUAACUUCUGUAUGGGCUCCAACUGUUCAAUAGUUAAUCAGGAAUAAUUGCUUUUUCCAUUUGAGUAAGAUCCUUAAAAACAUCCUGUUGUUCCUAUUUACACAUGCAAGGGCUUGAAAUAGUGAGAUUUGUAGUGUUGACUUUAAGAACCUUAAAAACAUUCUGCUGUUUCUAUUUACACAUGUAGGUCUUGAGAUAGUGAGAUUGAAAGUAUCAACUUUUCUAACUAUACUCAGUUACUUUCCAAUUAGUAACUGCAAACCUGAUCGGGAUGAUAUAAAUUUUAGUUAAAAACUCAUUAAAGAUGUUAUUUGGGAAUUUUUAAAUUUCCGGUGCAUAAAUUAAGGGGUGCAAGAUCAGAAAUGAGUUAAACAUAAUGAAGAAAGUGACUGGGAACAACUUAAGGCAUCAAUGCACGAUGUAGAGAAUUUAUUUAUGAAUCUUCAAAUGCUCCUCCAAACUUCUAAAAUCAGUGAACUGUGUCUAAGGAAUUACCAAAACGUGGAAAAAGGUUCCAAUUCUUUUCUAGGAGUUUGAACAAAGUACUGAGAAUUUAUGUUUCAUAAGCACUCAGGAGAUAUAUUUAUGUGAAUUAAAGCCACUUCAUUGCCAAAAGUGAUGACGGCUGAGAUAGUAGUGUACAUACUACCACAUGGUAGAUAGACUAUCCAUAUACAGUACACCAUACUUUCUGAUUCAAAUAUCAAAUCCAAAAAUCACAAAAUGUCAUGUCACGAUUAUGAGAAAAAACUGGAACAAAUUAACAAAAGAAGCCCUUGUCGCAGAGCAAAAACCAUGAAAUUGAACCUUUGGAGUUGGGGGACAUUACAGUACACAGCAUAAAAGAAGAAAGCUGAAUAGGACAAGGUCGGCUUAUGUUUAUAUAAGAGUCACAUGCUGCAUAUAGAAGAAAGGAUAAUGUUCAAAUAAAAACAUACCUUGCAGCAUACUCAGAAAAAUGU
rnacentral:misc_RNA from 1 species